rnacentral:ncRNA from 1 species
CAACGCAAUACUGCGUUUUAUGCGGUGAUUUACCCUGCCGCGUAGCGAAUAGAACUCGCAUCGGACUUCUUUAAGGAGAAAAAAAUCAUG